ensembl:lincRNA
AGGGAGAUACCAAGGUGAAGGAAGUUUGAGGUUUCUGGCCUGUAGGGACUGUGUCAGGUGGGGUCACAAGCAUGUGAAGAACACAAGAGGACAGUAGAGUAACUAAAAAUUGGGGUAAACAAAAGAGACAGCAGAAGUUGCAGGAAGACUGUACUGGAGAUUGAACCCAGGGCACUGAGCUACAUGUCCAGCCCUUUUAAUUUUUUUUAAAUUUAUUUUUAUUUUAAGGUAGGCCUGGAACUUGUUGCCUGGAACCUUCUGCCUCAGACUCCGGUAGCUGGGAUUACAGGUGUGCAAGACCACACAAGGCCUGACCAAAUCUUGAAGGAUGGCAUUAUGGCUGGAGUGCCCAUGGAUAACUGGAAGAGGGGUCUCCAGGACAAAGAGCCCAGUGAACACAAAAGCCCUGAGAUGUGAGCUGGUAUUAGGAACUAGAGGAAAGAGGUCACCUUGUUGCUCCAAGAAACCAGCCCUCCAGUUAAAGAAGAACAAAGGCCACAGAGAUAAGGAAUGCUGAAGGGAAAUCUCGAGAGGCCAGUUAUAUUUCUAAACAAGGCGGCAAUGGAAUGCUAUUCACUUCCACCAGAAUCCAGAUAGUCUCACCACCUCCUUUGUAACUCCCUUUCAUCAGUCAAUGGAUGACUUGCAAAAGCCCCCCAAACUAUUUCUACCCUUACCUCCUAUGUCUCUACCACAUUCCAGCUCUUAAAAUUCUUUGUCCUUGCCCCAGGGCCCAGUGGCACAUGCCUGUAAUCCCAGCAGCGGAGGAGGCUGAGGCAGGAGGAUGGCCAGUUCAAAGCCAGCCUGAGCAACAACAGUGAGGUGCUAAGCAACUCAGUGAGAUCCUGUCUCUAUAAAAUACAAGAUAGGGUUGAGGAUGUGGCUCAGUGUUUGAGUGCCCCUGAGUUCAAUCCCUGGUACAAAAAAAAAAAAAAAAAAAUUAUUUGUCCUUGUCCUGGUUUUCAAGGUAAGGAGCCUUGGAUGAGAGUUUUUAAGGAAACUUUUGCAUUCCUUGAAAGAUGAGGAAAUGUGGGCAGAUGCUGUCCACCUACUGCACAGCAUCAACCUGUGUUAGAUAAAUAAGACUUAAGAAGUCUUCCCCUGUUGUUCCCUAUUAAAGAAUUUUCAGACUAGCCCCCGUGCCUCCACCCACUUCUAGCCUCUCCUCCUCUGCAUUUCCCAGACCUUCUCUGGGCUGCCUUGAGGCUGCUAACACCCGAUCUCUGCAGCCACAUCUCCUUCCUGGUCUUUCUGAAUCACACUCCACAGUCUUUCCCAGCAGUGCACAAAUACCCUCUUGUCUGUCAAAGGCAUUUUUCAAAUUGUCAUCUCAUGCUGCAGCCUGGAGGAAGGGCAGGGGCGUUGGAGCCCCAUUCCCUGAGCUCCUGAGCAUGGCGAGACUCUGUGGGUUUGUGGUGAGUUAACCUGACUCAGGCUUUAGGCAGGACUGUGGCUACAAGGGUGAUCUGUUUCAGAUCUUAGCAUUUUUCAAAUGCCAGCAAGGUAAGGGCUAGAGACAGCAUCUCUCCCAACAAUUGUCAUCUAAUCUUUACCUGGGUCCAGGAGUUCUCAAUGUACACUCCCACCCCACCCACCUGUGUCUCCAUACACAUUCCAGUUCUUGGAAUUCUUUGUACUCCACCCACCUCCACCCCCAACCCCAUCCCUGCUUUGUUUAGGAUUGAACCCAGGGCCUCACACAUGCUAAGCAUAUGCUCUACCACUGAGCUGCACCCCUAGUCCCUCCAGGUUUCUUUCUGUUUCUCUCUUACUCUUUCAAGAUGUCUGUCUUCUGUCUCCAUUGUGUGUGUGUUUCCAUCCAUCCUUACACUAUUUUUUUUUUUUUAGUUGCAGUUAGACACAAUACCUUUAUUUUACUUACUUAUUUAUUUAUUUAUU